AUGAUUCCGGCGGGAGAGUCUCGGGUAACCGGGCGCCGAAGGAGAAAACCACCGCGUGUCGCUUGUGCGGGAGGGGAAACUCUCAGGCAAAAGAACCGCUGAAAGACG
rnacentral:ncRNA from 2 species